rnacentral:tRNA from 1 species
GUCCUGAUAGCUCAGCUGGAUAGAGCAACGGCCUUCUAAGCCGUCGGUCGGGGGUUCGAAUCCCUCUCAGGACGUAAUAUGAA